rnacentral:rRNA from 1 species
AGUGAACGCUGGCGGUAGGCCUAACACAUGCAAGUCGAACGGCAGCACAGUAAGAGCUUGCUCUUACGGGUGGCGAGUGGCGGACGGGUGAGGAAUACAUCGGAAUCUACUUUUUCGUGGGGGAUAACGUAGGGAAACUUACGCUAAUACCGCAUACGACCUACGGGUGAAAGCAGGGGAUCUUCAGACCUUGCGCGAUUGAAUGAGCCGAUGUCGGAUUAGCUAGUUGGCGGGGUAAAGGCCCACCAAGGCGACGAUCCGUAGCUGGUCUGAGAGGAUGUUCAGCCACACUGGAACUGAGACACGGUCCAGACUCCUACGGGAGGCAGCAGUGGGGAAUAUUGGACAAUGGGCGCAAGCCUGAUCCAGCCAUACCGCGUGGGUGAAGAAGGCCUUCGGGUUGUAAAGCCCUUUUGUUGGGAAAGAAAAGCAGCAGGUUAAUACCCCGCUGUUCUGACGGUACCCAAAGAAUAAGCACCGGCUAACUUCGUG